rnacentral:rRNA from 1 species
UACGUAGGUGGCAAGCGUUGUCCGGAAUUAUUGGGCGUAAAGCGCGCGCAGGCGGUUUCUUAAGUCUGAUGUGAAAGCCCACGGCUCAACCGUGGAGGGUCAUUGGAAACUGGGGAACUUGAGUGCAGGAGAGAAGAGUGGAAUUCCACGUGUAGCGGUGAAAUGCGUAGAGAUGUGGAGGAACACCAGUGGCGAAGGCGACUCUUUGGCCUGUAACUGACGCUGAGGCGCGAAAGCGUGGGGAGCAAACAGG